GAUGAACGCUGGCGGCGUGCCUAAUACAUGCAAGUCGAGCGAACAGAUGAGGAGCUUGCUCCUCUGACGUUAGCGGCGGACGGGUGAGUAACACGUGGAUAACCUACCUAUAAGACUGGGAUAACUUCGGGAAACCGGAGCUAAUACCGGAUAAUAUAUUGAACCGUAUGGUUCAAUAGUGAAAGACGGUUUUGUUGUCACUUAUAGAUGGAUCCGCGCCGCAUUAGCUAGUUGGUAAGGUAACGGCUUACCAAGGCAACGAUGCGUAGCCGACCUGAGAGGGUGAUCGGCCACACUGGAACUGAGACACGGUCCAGACUCCUACGGGAGGCAGCAGUAGGGAAUCUUCCGCAAUGGGCGAAAGCCUGACGGAGCAACGCCGCGUGAGUGAUGAAGGUCUUCGGAUCGUAAAACUCUGUUAUUAGGGAAGAACAAAUGUGUAAGUAACUAUGCACGUCUUGACGGUACCUAAUCAGAAAGCCACGGCUAACUACGUG
rnacentral:rRNA from 1 species